ensembl:lncRNA
UCUGUUCCCCUUUUCCCAUCCUGUCUCCUAUCCAGGUUCCUCCCUCUCUCUGCCUCCUGUGAUUAUUUCCUUUCCCAUUCUAAGUGGGAUUGAAGCCUCCUCACUUGGGCAUUUCUGCUUGUUACACUUUUUACAAUCUGUGGGUUGUAUCCUAAGUAUUUUGUACUUUUUGGCUAAUAUCCAUUCACCAGUGAGUACAUACCAUGCAUGUCCUUUUGGAUAUGAGUUACCUUACUCAGGAUGAUAUUUUCUAGUUUCAUCCACUUGCUUGCAAAAUUCAUGAUCUCAUUUUUGAUAGCUGAAUAGUAUUCCACUAUGUAAAUGAACUACAUUUUCCUCUAUCCAUUCUUCAGUUGAGGGACAUUUAGGUUGUUUCCAGCUCCUGGCUAUUACAAAUAAGGCUGCUAUGAACAUGGUGGAACAUGUGUACUUGUGGUAUGGUGGGGCAUCUUUUGGGUAUAUGCUCAAGAAUGGUAUUGCUGGGGGAAAGACACAUUUUAAUCUGAAUAUUUUGAGAUGGGAAUAUAUAUAUAUCUUUACUCCAGAUCUUUUGAGGUAGGAAGAGUCAUGUUUAGUCUGGACCACACCUUCUGGUGGUAGCCUAUUCUUAGAAGAAGGAUGCUUUUGCUUUUUGCCUGAUUAUCUUCACUCUCACUGGUGAGUUCAUUCCCACUGGCAUUAGAGUCUACUUUGGGAUUCUGACAUAGACUGAAGACUAGCUGAGACAUCCAUCCUCAUGGACUGAACGAUUAAUGGAUUCUUUGACCUUCUAUUGGUAGACAGCCAUUGUUUAACUAUCUGGACCUUAGCCUGCAAGUGGGAUUUAUUAGAAUGACUAACAGGUCGUGGUCCAGUAGUCCUACCUGUCUGUCUGUCUGUCUGAUCUAUCUUCAUUCAUUUUUAUUAGGUCUAUUCUUCCGGAAAACCCUGAUUAGCACAUCAGCUAAGGGUCAGACACUGUCAUUUCCCCUGAUCUACUCAUGCUACUAGAGGAUAAACUACCUGUCUGCUGGUGUGCCCGACUGCAUCAUACAUCAAGGAGAUAAACGAGCAGUGGAACGGUUUCCUCUUAAAGAAAUACUUCUGAAAAUCUUAUGUAACUGGGUGAAUUUGAAGGACAGGGUGUUUCAGAAAGGCAGCAAAAAUUCAAAUUCAGAGUUUGGCACCUGUGGGAAGAACAAACCUGCUUGAGGUUGAGGGCUUUCCAUAACUCCGGAAGCUAGAAGGAGGACACCGGAAGAUGAAUGUGGGGGUUCCGGGAGCACGUUGGGGAGUCCAGGAUGAUGAACUUGAGGUGGAUUGCAGUGGCUCCACAGGGAAGUGCCAGGCCAUUUUGACUUCUAAAAUGUAAAGCCAGAGGUGGUGGUAGGGUUGUUUAUUUGCUUAUGUAUUACAUCGCAUUGCAAGCCUUGUGCCCUCGGGACAAAUACUAAAAAGCAAUGUCCUACACGGGGAACCAUGCAGUGACAAUGCCAGUCCUCUCAUUUCCUUGAAUAAAUGGUUUUUCUUCCGAGACUUAUUCAGCUCGUUUAUUGAGUGCUCUGAAUCGGGUUUGUGCGGGGCAAGUACUUUUAUUUUUUAUUUGUUUUCUCCUUUAUGCUGAUCUUGAUUUGUACUCAUUCUAGUUUUUUUCCGUUAUGUUUUAUAACAUCUUGGGCAGAUUUAUGGUAUUCUAAUUACUUUCAGUGUUUCGAAAACCAUCUAAUACAUGCAGAUUUAUGCCUCAUGAAAAAUUUAACUUUGUCCUAUGUGACGCUUCCCUGUAUCCAAAUUUCUACACCAGGAGGUCAUCAGUACUCUGAAGAAACUCCUCCUUUUCCUUCCCUGUCUUUUCCUCCAUCUUCUCCACCCAGAUUUUUGCAUGAACUGGAGCUAGGAAGGAAAGAGGAAGUCAGCUUGGCCAAACUCUUCUCUCUCAGCUGGUGCCAUUCCGGGUCUCUUGGGAUGGCUGGGAGGGAGGAAGUAGUACAUUGGGAAAUGUAUAGCAACCAAUACUUUGAAAAAUGUGUGUGCGUAUUACAGCCCUAAUGGUAUUAAAAGCUAAAGCUGGCACUAUAACUCAGUGGUGCAAUGCUGGUCUAACAUAUAUGGAGCUUUACAAAAGCCAAACAAAUAAAGCCCAAACUGUGCUAUUAUUUCAUUCCGUUUCCUCUCUGUUGCUGUGACGAACAUCAUGACCAAAAUGACUCAGAAGAGAAAAGGCUUUAUUCCAGGUGACAGUACAUCCAUGAAGGAAGUCAGAGCUGGAACUCAAGCAUGAACUAGAAACAGAAACCCUGGAGAUACAUUAUCUGCUGUCUUAUGAGCUUAUGUGAACUUCCUUGAACAGUCCAUGACUACCUGCUCAGGGAUUGGUAGCAGCCACACUGGGCUGGGUUCUCCUGUAUCAAUUAACAAGCAAGAUAAUCCUCCACUAACAUGCCAACAAGCUAAUCUAGUUUGAGGAAGACUUCAGCUCAAGCCUCUUUCUCAUAUGACUCUAGGCUGUGUAGCUGUAAAAUGAUAAAAAAUGGUGUCUUUUACCCCACACAAGAUCAGGCAUGGUAGUGCCCCAAGAUAUCUGGUAGAUAUCUUCCUCUCAGCAGCAAAACCUCUCACCUACUUUGCUCUAUCUAAUAUCACACUGCGAUGGCUUCUCUCUGAGCCUGGCAACAAUUUCUCUACCCAUCUAGUUCCCAAGGCAGGCUGCCACCACACACAUGUCUCCAGCCAUCACAUACCCUCUUGAACUUAAAUCUCCACAUGAAAGAACACACAACACAAUAACCUCUGAUCUAAUUUAUAAUAUAUAAUUUGCUCAUCUAGACACACAAAGCCCUGUGUAUAUCCAUCCCUUAAGAAUAUUCAUAACAACCUGUAAAGGUGCAGAGAGGAAUCUUAACAUAUGCCUCCAUGUUCUCCCGGCUGCUUCUUUCUCCUUCGAUUCCACUCUCCCCCUCUCUCUUAAACUUUUCUCUCGCCCAUCCUUCCUUCUCAUCCAAUGACAGGCCUCGAUCUAUCUUGUACCUCC